GCCCUGGUGGCACAGUGGUUAAAUGCCAGUACUGCAACCACUAGGUUAUGAGUUCGAUCCCAGACAGGGCU